CCGCACAGUCUCCAACUCCAAGGCACAGUCCGUGACUUAUCGAUUGCCCGAGUUCCCGACUUCCCGUCUCCUACUCUUCUCCUUAGGGUUAGGAUUUAGGGUUUGUGCUGCGCCGCCCGAGCUCCAUUUGGCUAUUCCCUCCCUCAGGUCAGGCCUUAGUCUCUCUCGAGCCUCUCCCCUCUCCUUCGGACCUUCGCCUCCACCCUCUCCUCCUCCGUGCCGACAACUUUGGCCUCCCCGUCGACGGCGAUCGUGGCGGCUUGAGGACCACACUCCACCAUCCGCGACCUCUCCUUAGUUAGGGACUUAGGGUUAGAGUUUGUGUGCCGCCCGAGCUCUAUUCCCUCCCUCAGUCUUUCUCGAGUCUCUCCCCUUUGCUCUCCUUCGGAUUCUUCGCCUCCCGAGCCCUCUCCUCCGGACCUCUGCCUCCGCCCUCUCCUCCCCUGUGCCGACAACUUCGGCCUCCCCAUCGACGGCGACCGUGGCGGCUCGGAUCCUCUGCUCUACCGAGGUAAAUUUUGAUGAUUGGCCUAAAUGUUAAUGUUUCAGGAUGGUUAUUCCCCUAGAUUUGUUCCACUCAAUCUAGCAAAUGAUUAUUCUUUACCUUUGGCUGCUUGCAAUUAGAUAUACUUUGAAAGGGUUCUCAUUUAAUUUCAACAUUUGUGGAGGUUGAUUUGUUUGGACAGCUGCUUUACAUGAGGGUGAUGUUGAUGCUGAACAUUUAUGGUGUGCUUUUUCAUGAUGAUUUUUUCAUGAUUUAUCUCCACAUAGCUUCAUUCUUAUAAUCUUAUGUUAUUCAAUAUAGCUAUUUGAUAGUUUCUUUUGCUAGAUUCUUUUUUUGCACAGGUUGCUAUUGUAAGUUUGUAACUUUGGGAUAGCAAGAAAAUUCAUCUGGAGAUUGCUAAGCAAAAGGAAAUUCAUCUUGAUGUAUGCAAUGCUGUUUUUAUUUUUAUUCAAUAAUAGUCUAGUAGCCAUCCCUAGAGGGACAAGAGGUGGAGAUAUUAGGUGUUCAGUUGGUCUGAUGAUCUGGGUCUGUGAUUCUUGGUUGUAGUUCUAUUAGCCUGGCUUUGUUUGUUAGGGAUGCAUGGAGUUGGUGCAGGCAACUGGUACUUGAUAUUCUUGGUUGUAUGCAAUGCUGUUCAGCUCUUUGCUAUUGCUCUCUUGUGCCCGAUAUGAACUUAAAUUGUGAUCUGAAGUUGGUGCAGGCAGCUGGUACUUGAUCUGUUCGAUCACAUAACUUUUGUCCCCUUAUAUUGAGGCUCUUUUCUACGAUACGCUGCUGCUUUCUGGGUUAUAGAAAUAUCGUGUUUUAGCAGCCACAUUUUUGUCAGUGUUUAUAUUCUUGUGAUUGAAAACUGACUACCUGUUCUCUUCACCAUUUCUACAGUAAGUUACAGAGUGAUGUUUUGAGGGAAGCAAUCUCUCAGAUUGCAAAUGAUUCUCGAGAGAAGAAGCGCAAUUUUACUGAAACCAUUGAGCUACAAAUUGGUCUGAAAAACUAUGACCCCCAAAAAGAUAAGCAUUUCAGCAGAUCUUAUGUUUACCUAAUAUAAUUUUUAAUGGCAAACAUCAUACAAAUAACUUGUCCAAUGCAUUUGAAUUCAGGGCCUGGUUGUUCUUCUAUUGUCUAUGGAGAGGCAGAGGAACUUGGACCUUUCUUAAUACAAAAAGGCAUGCCAGAGCUCAAAUUCAACAAGCAUUCUUGGAACCGGAGGAAUUGCGACUCAUCACUCGCCUAUAGGCCCUAUACUGACAGAGAAAAUAGGGCUUGACUAUAUGGAUGUUGAAGCACUAAAAAAAUAAAUAAAAACAAGAAGCUGGUCAAAAAGCUUGCUAAGAAGUACCAUGCUUUCCUAGCAUCAGAGGCCAUCAUGUAUAUUGAUAUUUGUUCUAUGUGAAGCAGAUUUUCUUUUCGGGCUAUUCCAUAUGUAAAUUUGGAUGAUUUGACUUGUAUUCCUUAUCUUUGUAAAGAUUAAAUAUUUUUUGAAUAUUGUUGGUAUUAGAUGAAUGAUUAAAUACUUGUAUUCCUUA